rnacentral:lncRNA from 1 species
GAGUUUUUUCCAACAUACUGAGAUUACUAAAGUGGAGGGGCAAGAAAAUGCAGUAUUGCAACUUGAGCAUACUCUGUUCAAGAUGCCUCCAUUCAGUUUGUUCCUCCAAAACAAUAAUUGUUUGAGAUGACGAUCCAUCAUUUAACGGAGUGGAGAGACAAAAACAAAGAAGUCAUCAUCAGACAGAUUUAUAUGAGUGCUUCUGUGGAUGAUUUCUUAACAGCGGCUACAGAAUCAUUGUAACGAGACCUU